AUUGAACGCUGGCGGCAUGCUUUACACAUGCAAGUCGAACGGCAGCGCGGGCUUCGGCCUGGCGGCGAGUGGCGAACGGGUGAGUAAUGCAUCGGAACGUGCCCAGUAGUGGGGGAUAGCCCGGCGAAAGCCGGAUUAAUACCGCAUACGACCUGAGGGUGAAAGCGGGGGACCGAAAGGCCUCGCGCUAUUGGAGCGGCCGAUGUCGGAUUAGCCAGUUGGUGGGGUAAAGGCUUACCAAGGCGACGAUCCGUAGCUGGUCUGAGAGGACGACCAGCCACACUGGGACUGAGACACGGCCCAGACUCCUACGGGAGGCAGCAGUGGGGAAUGUUGGACAAUGGGGGCAACCCUGAUCCAGCCAUGCCGCGUGCGGGAAGAAGGCCUUCGGGUUGUAAACCGCUUUUGUUCGGGAAGAAAUCCUCUGGGCUAAUACCCCGGGGGGAUGACGGUACCGGAAGAAUAAGCACCGGCUAACUACGUG
rnacentral:rRNA from 1 species